UACGGGGGGGGCAAGCGUUGUUCGGAAUUACUGGGCGUAAAGGGCUCGUAGGCGGCCAACUAAGUCAGACGUGAAAUCCCUAGGCUCAACCUAGGAACUGCGUCUGAUACUGGAUGGCUUGAAUCCGGGAGAGGGAUGCGGAAUUCCAGGUGUAGCGGUGAAAUGCGUAGAUAUCUGGAGGAACACCGGUGGCGAAGGCGGCAUCCUGGACCGGCAUUGACGCUGAGGCGCGAAAGCUAGGGGAGCAAACGGG
rnacentral:rRNA from 1 species